rnacentral:rRNA from 1 species
CCGGGCGAAAUUUAAGCAUAUAAGUAAGUGGUGGAAAUUAAACCAACUGGGAUCUCUUCAGUAAUUGCGCAUGAACCAGGAUAUGCUUAGCUUGACAAAUGGAGCUGCUGGCUCUGAAUUGUAUUGUGGGAAUGUAUUACCAACAGAGGUGCAGGUGUCAGCCAUUUGAAAGAAAGCAUCAAUGAGGGUGAGAGUCCUGUUUGUCAUGUGCAGCCUUCUGUGCACGGUGUAUAUUUGCUGAGUCACACUCCUUGGCAUUGGAAUGCAAAGUGGGUGGUAAGUUUCAUGCAAAGGUAAAUAUGCAAUUGAGACUGAUAGCGCACAAGUACCAUGAGGGACAUAUGAAAAGGACUUUGAACAGAGAAUUAAAUGAGUUUGUAUUUGCUAAACACAAAGUAAACAGACUUGAUUUCCUCAGUGAGAUUGUAGUGCUUGCUUGACAAUGGGUUUUGGCUGCAAGUGCAAUAAUUCUUGCUUUGUGUGCCAGUUUUUAUGUGGACAUUUGAUUACCUUUGCACAUGAAUGGUAAUUUUCCUGCGGGGUGUGGAUUGCAUAUGCAUGUAAUGAUUUGCAUGUUUGUUAAAUGUGUCUGGUGUAUUUGUUUGUGUCCUUGUCCUUGAGGUUGCUUUCUCCCUUGGGCUUACAUGCCUGCACACGGGGAUAUCUUUAGUAAUUGCGAAUGAACAAGGAUAUGCUUAGCUUGACAAAUGGAGCUAUUGGCUUUGAAUUGUAUUGUGGAAAUGUAUUACCAACAGAGGUGCAGGUGCCAGCCUAUUGAAAUAAAGCGUCAAUGAGGGUGAGAAUCCUGUUUGUCAUGUGCAGCCCUUUGUGCACGGUGUAUAUUUGCUGAGUCACACUCCUUGGCAUUGGAAUGCAAAGUGGGUGGUAAGUUUCAUGUAAAGGUAAACAUGCAAUUGAGACUGAUAGCACACAAGUACCAUGAGGGAAAUAUGAAAAGGACUUUGAAAAGAGAAUUAAAUGAGUUUGUAUUUGCUGAACACAAAGUAAACAGACUUGAUUUGCUUGGUGGGAUUGCUCUUGCUUGACAAGAGCUUUGGGCUGUGGGUGUAAUGAUUCUUUCUUUGCAUGCCAGUUUCUAUUUGUACAUCUGAUUACCUUUGCACAUGAAUGAUAAGUCUCCUGUGGGGGGGUGGAUUGCAUGUGCAUGUAAUGAUUUGUGUUUUGAUAAAUGUGUCUGGUGUAUGUGUGUGUUCCUGUGCUUGGGGAUGCUUCCUUCCUUGGACUUACAAGCCCUGACACACACAUGCUGGCAAAAUGCUUCUGCUUGACCCGUCUUGAAAAU